ACAUCACCAGAAUCAACACCACUAUGUAAAUCAACAGUGUCAUCAUCAGCAGCAUCCAAUUCUUCACUUCUAACAUCACCAGAAUCAACACCACUACGUAAAUCAACACCAUCAUCAUCAGCAGCAUCUGAUUCUUCACUUCUUCCAUCACCAGAAACAACGCCACUAAGAACACAGUUAACAUCAUCACUACUUUCAUCUGAUUCAUCAGUGCUUACAACACCACAUUCAUUACUGACAUCAUCCUCAGCUUCAUCACUCCUGUCAACCCCACCACAUGCACAACAGUCAGAUUCAUCUGUACUAACAACUCCGGAAUCCACACCACCACCUACAGCAUCCUUGCCUACAGAGUGUCCAAUCCAGUCUGUAGCAACAUCAUCUGGCAACAGAUUUCCAGAAAUUUGUGCAUGGUCAUUACCUGAAGUUGUCGAGGGAUGGAACAAUGCUAUUCAUUCAUUCACAAGGGUAUUAGCAAACCCUUAAUGACUCGGUUCAGUUGCCUUGUACCCAUUGGUUUGGCUGGCCUAGGCAGGCAUGUAUGUUUUCCAUAUCAGUGAUGCCAGUCAACAUGAGACAGCACAUCAGCAAUGGUGUGUCCUUAGCCAAGAAGUUUGUUUUUUGGGCUGCCUUUGAGAGAUUUUCAUGGAGAAGUUCUUGACAAUCAACUAGGCAGCUAGGCACAAUAUCCCGAUCCCUCUUAACCUCUUGGCACUGAAAAUUGAACAGCAGAGGCUACCAUUAGAAAGGAGGUGUUUCCUUGAACUGCUUGCCUGUUGUCAGGAAAAUUCAGACAGAUGACAGAAAUAACUUUUAAAAAAAAGAUGUUAAUGACAGCUGUAACCAAAAGUGGGAUAAAGAGUAUUCAAAUGUAACAGUGAAUGUUCAACAUUAAUUCAUUUAAAGUGAUAUUGUGAAAGCUCAACAUUAAAUUCAUUUAAAGUGAUAUUGUGAGAGACCAACAUUAAUUCAUUUAAAGUGAUAUUGUGAAAGACCAACAUUAAUUCAUUUAAAGUGAUAUUGUGAAAGACAAACAUUUGAUUCAAUAAAGUGAUUUUUAAGAAUGUUCAAAUGUAACAGUGAAAGACCGACAUCAAACUCAAUAAAAGUGAUAUUUAAGAAUGUUUAAAUGUAACACUGAAAGAUCAGCAUUAAGGUACUAAUUAAUGUUCAGAUAUAAUAGUGAAGGACCAGCAUUAAAUUUGUUGAAGGUGAUAUUUAAAUCAAGUUCAGGUAUAACAGAUCAAGGUAGAAAUUAUAUCUGCUAUUAAAUUUAUAUGUGACAUAGUAUUCAAUAUUUGCUCUAAUUGUAAAAUAUAGGAGUAUAUCAUGUGCUUUGGUUGUUAAGUAAGGGUAUCAAGUUUUAAUUGAUACUUUUUAAUCCCCCGCCGUGGCGGAGGGAUUAUAGGAAUGGUCUGUGUCCGUCCUUCCUUCCAUCCGUCCUUCCGUCCGUAACAAAAUCGUGUCCGGUCCAUAUCUCCUAAACCCCUUGAAGGAUUUUCAUGAAACUUGGGUCAAAUGAUCACCUCAUCAAGACAAUGUGCAGAACCCAUGAGUCAGCCUUGUCAGUUCAAGGUCAAGGUCACAACUCAUGGUCAAAGGUUUGAGCCUGCCAUUUUGUGUCCGCUCUAUAUCUCCUAAACCCCUUGAAGGAAUUUUAUAAAACUUGGGUCAAAUGAUCACCUCAUCAAGACAAUGUGCAGAACCCAUGAGUCAGCCAUGCCGGCUCAAGGUCAAGGUCACAACUCAAAGUCAAAGGUUUGAGCCUUCCAUUUUGUGUCCGCUCUAUAUCUCUUAAACCCCUUGAAGGAAUUUUAUAAAACUUUGGUCAAAUGAUCACCUCAUCAAGACGAUGUGCAGAACCCAUGAGUCAGUCAUGUCGGCUCAAGGUCAAGGUCACAACUUAGGGUCAAAGGUUUGAGCCUUCCAUUUUGUGUCCGCUCUAUAUCUCCUAAACCCCUUGAAGGAUUUUCAUCAAACUUGGGUCAAACGAUCACCUCAUCAAGUCGAUGUGCAGAACUUAUGAGUCAGCCAUGCCGGCUCAAGGUCAAGGUCACAACUGAAGGUCAAAGGUUUGAGCCUUCCAUUUCGUGUCCGCUCUAUAUCUCCUAAACCCCUUGAAGGAAUUUUAUAAAACUUGGGUCAAAUGAUUACCUCAUCAGAACGAUGUGCAGAAAUUAUGAGUCAACCAUGCCAGCUCAAGGUCAAGGUCACAACUAAGGGUCGAAGGUUUGAGCCUUCCAUUUGGUGUCCACUCUGUAUCUCCUUAACCCCUUGAAGGAUUUUCAUCAAACUUGGGUCAAAUGAUCACCUCAUCAAGAACUCAUGAGUCAGCCAUGUCAACUCAAGGUCAAGGUCACAACUGAAGGUCAAAGGUUUCAGCUCUGUAUCUCCUAAACCCCUUGAAGGAUUUUCAUGAAACUUUGGUCAAAUGAUCACCUCAUCAAGACGUUGUGCAGAAUUCAUGAGUCAGCCAUGUCAGUUCAAGGUCAAGGUCACAGCUAAAAUCAAAGGUUUAUACCCUUUCACUAUCCAUAGCAGUGGCGGGGGAUUUAGCUGUCUUUCAGACUGCCUUGUUUGUAUUAUUAUAUCAUUAGGUUUAUACAGAGAGAUUAAAAGACUAAAGAAAAAAAGACUAACUGCAGAUAUCAAGCAGCUGCGUAAAAUAUCCCUUUGAGACAAAAGCCUCUAAAGAAAAAGGUUCAAGCAUUUGCUGAACUUUGAAUAUAUUAUUUAUAUGCAAUAGGUCAGUCUAUGUAUAAAGCUGAUUUUGGUAAUAUUUGGGUUACUCUUAUCUUACAAUUUGAUAAACAAUAGACCUAAUUGCUUUCUAAAAACUUUUUACUUUAAUAUUUGCAAUUUUGUAAAAUUACCCAUUUACGAGCUGUUCAGCAUUUCCAUACCAGAUUUUUAUAGGAUUUUAUAAAUUGGAAUCCUUACAUAUAUAUUGAUUUAAUAUGUAUAUACAUUUAAAAUUAUCCCAGCAGUGAGUAUCAAUGCACGAUAGAAGUCUUUAACAUCUCGUCUUUAGUUCUACAUUUUUGUCCCACUACUGGUCAUUAGAAAUAAACACUAAAAUUGG